GAUGAAGAACGUAGCGAAAUGCGAUAAGUAAUGUGAAUUGCAGAAUUCAGUGAAUCAUCGAAUCUUUGAACGCCCAUUGCGCCCGCCAGUAUUCUGGCGGGCAUGCCUGUUCGAGCGUCAUUACAACCCUCAGGCCCCCGGGCCUGGCGUUGGGGAUCGGCGGAGCCCCCCGUGGGCACACGCCGUCCCCCAAAUACAGUGGCGGUCCCGCCGCAGCUUCCAUCGCGUAGUAGCUAACACCUCGCGACUGGAGAGCGGCGCGGCCACGCCGUAAAACACCCAACUCUUCUGAAGUUGACCUCGAAUCAGGUAGGAAUACCCGCUGAACUUAAGCAUAUCAAUAAGCGGAGGA
rnacentral:misc_RNA from 1 species